rnacentral:rRNA from 1 species
CCAAUAGCGUAUAUUAAAGUUGUUGCAGUUAAAAAGCUCGUAGUUGAACUUCGGGGUUUACUCAUUGGUCAGGCUUAAUUGUCUGUACUGGUGAGAUGAAUCUCUACCUUCUGAGGAACUUUCAUGCCAUUUAUUUGGUGUGAUGGGAAAUCAGGACUGUUACUUUGGAAAAAUUAGAGUGUUUAAAGCAGGCUAACGUCUGAAUACAUUAGCAUGGAAUAAUGAAAUAGGACGGACUGAUUCUAUUUCGUUGGUUUCUAGGAUCACCGUAAUGAUUAAUAGGGAUAGUUGGGGGCAUUAGUAUUCAAUUGUCAGAGGUGAAAUUCUUGGAUUUAUUGAAGACUAACUACUGCGAAAGCAUUUGCCAAGGAUGUUUUCAUUAAUCAAGAACGAAAGUUAGGGGAUCGAAGACGAUCAGAUACCGUCGUAGUCUUAACCAUAAACUAUGCCGACUAGGGAUCGGACGAAGUUAAUUUUAUAAUGACGCGUUCGGCACCUUACG